GGCUCAGGAUGAACGCUAGCUACAGGCUUAACACAUGCAAGUCGAGGGGCAGCGGGAUUGAAGCUUGCUUCAAUUGCCGGCGACCGGCGCACGGGUGAGUAACACGUAUCCAACCUGCCGUCUACUCUUGGACAGCCUUCUGAAAGGAAGAUUAAUACAAGAUGGCAUCAUGAGUCCGCAUGUUCACAUGAUUAAAGGUAUUCCGGUAGACGAUGGGGAUGCGUUCCAUUAGAUAGUAGGCGGGGUAACGGCCCACCUAGUCUUCGAUGGAUAGGGGUUCUGAGAGGAAGGUCCCCCACAUUGGAACUGAGACACGGUCCAAACUCCUACGGGAGGCAGCAGUGAGGAAUAUUGGUCAAUGGGCGUAAGCCUGAACCAGCCAAGUCGCGUGAGGGAUGAAGGUUCUAUGGAUCGUAAACCUCUUUUAUAAGGGAAUAAAGUGCGGGACGUGUCCCGCUUUGUAUGUACCUUAUGAAUAAGGAUCGGCUAACUCCGUG
rnacentral:rRNA from 1 species